AUCAAGAGCUGAGUGUAGCUCUACAACGAGGACCAAAAGGUUUGAUGCAGAUCUGGAUCAUAUGAACCUCUCCCCCAUGAUACGCCACCUUGUGGAGAACAUGACAGAAGAGCAUUGGAUAAUUGUCCGUGAGGCUCUAUGUGUGCCUAGGACCAAAGAAGAAGUUGGCCAUCUUUGUGCUAUCAUAGUGAAGAAAGUAGUCC